rnacentral:tRNA from 2 species
GCGGAAAUGGCUCAACGGUAGAGCGCCACCUUGCCAAGGUGGACGUUGCGGGUUCGAAUCCCGUUUUCCGCUCCA